UUGAUAUAUAGUUUUGACAUUUAAUAAUAGUUGAGAGGCUACAGUCUUCACAGCACCCUCUACUUUUCAGCAUCCAGAAUUUACCCUUUUUUUGUACACUCAGUUCCUCCUAUGUUGAUAGCCCAGCCAACAUAUAUCAGCUCUUGCAUAUGGGUGGCAUGGACUCAAGAGACGAUCUGAGAGGAGAGAAUCAAAGAGGUAGAGGGAAGGAAAGAAAGCCUACUUUGGUCUAUGUAGUAAAGGCAGUUGGUCAAAGAGAGGAGAAAAAAAUGCCUAGACAGCAGCUGGUGAGAGAGUUAAAUUUUGAGUUGCUUGGCAGAAAAUUGGGGGCUGUAUCAGUCAGGACAGGCAGCAUCAUGCUGCAGUAAUGACAAACCCAACAAUAACAUCUCAGUGGCAAGUACCAUGAGAGGCUGCUUUUUCACUUGUUGUUACAUACACAUGAUGGUGUUCUUUCCAGAGAUGGCUGGUCUUCUGAGUCAUUUGUCAUUCUCCUUCUAGGAUGCAGGCUGAGGAGCAGCCACAAGUGAAGUGUUGCCUGUCACCUCAGCAGUGGAAAAAAGAGGGCACUUCCUCUUUUUUCAGGGACUACUCUCAUUUCUCCUGCUGGAUGUGACCAUGUUACCCUGUGGGUGACUCAGACCACCUUUGCUCCCUUCUCAGUGGCCAAACCCCAUUAUAUGACCACCAAUGAGUUGGAUAGGGCAGGGCUGUAAUGCUCCCAUAGGUAACAGGGCUUUCAAUCAAGGAAGAAUCAUGCCUUCUGCUUUAGGGUGGAAGGGAAUGUGAUCUCCUAACACUCAUAGUAGAUUAUGAGCACACAUCCUCAUGUGAAAAUACUGUGGGCACUGUGCAUAAAAUAAGAUUUGUUUAAUUAUCUCUGGUGGUGGCAGUUCCUUCCUCAAAGUCAUAUUUGUCCUCACAUCAACUGGGCUUCACACCUCCCAGAGUCACAGGGCUGGACAGGGUCUUCCUCACCUGAAGCAAUUCAUUUUGAGAUGUAUUUUCUCCCAUUCUGUAGGUUCCCUGUUCAGUCUGAUGCUAGUUUCUUUCGCUGUGCAGAAGUCUUUUAGUUCAAUUAGAUCCCAUUUGUCAAUUUUGGCUUCUGUUGCCAUUGUUUUUGGUGUUUUAGUCAUGAGGUCUUUGCCCAUGCCUAUGAUGUCCUAAAUGGUAUUGCCUAGGUUUUCUUCCAGGGUUUUUACAGUUUUAGGUCUUCCGUUUAAGUCUUUAAUCCAUCUUGAGUUAAUUUUUGUAUAAGGUAUACAAAUUUUUGUAUAAGGUAUAAUUUUGUAUAAGGAAGGGAUCCAGUUUCAGUUUUCUGCAUAUGGCACACCGCCACCAGCCCUCCCAACAGACGGGGCCUGGUCAAGACGACAGCCACUGAAAGCCACUCUCAGCAUGGAGCAGGGAGGCCUUGGGGUCGAAUUACCCUGGGAUUGAAUUACUAGAAGCACACUCAAAAUGAAGAAAGUUGCUUCUAAAAAUAGGAAAAAGAAACCCACACGGAUGAAAGUCAAAGAGGAGAAAAAGCAGAACAAAAACCAUUUGGCUUUACAAACAUCCACACAAUUUUAAAGUAGGGUUCCAUCCUGUCCCUCUGGAACAACAACGGCUAUGACGAAAAAGCAGCCAGGUUCUCUUUUCCUACAAGACCUGCUUUUUCAACUUCUUGGUGAAAUGUGAUGUAGCAGCAGAGAGGCCCAGCUUGCACCCUGAGAUCACAGGAGCGCUUGCGGGUGGCUUCAUCUUUAACCCCUUGAGGCCACCAAACAUCCAUUACCUGGCCAGGCAGAGCUGAAGACGACCCUCACGGGGCUCUAACCUGAGCCCAUAGCAAACUGUUUUCCCUGGAUCUGGGACAGAAUCCCUUCAGAAGCCCACUCAUGGGCAAGGCAGCUUCGAGUGGACUUGCAGCUGUUGAGAACUGACCUCCCAGUGGGAGCUCGGGCCUUGAUUCCCCACUGACUCCUCAAAGUGUCUCCCAGAGCCUAAACUGUCUCCCAGAGCCUGUCUCCCAGAGCCUAAACUGUCUCUCAGAGCCUAAACUGUCUUUCAGAGCCUGUCUCCCAGAGCCUGUCUCCCAGAGCCUAAACUGUCUCCCAGAGCCUAAACUGUCUCCCAGAGCCUGUCUCCCAGAGCCUAAACUGUCUCCCAGAGCCUGUUUCCCAGAGCCUAAACUGUCUCCCAGAGCCUGUCUCCCAGAGCCUAAACUGUCUCUCAGAGCCUAAACUGUCUUUCAGAGCCUGUCUCCCAGAGCCUAAACUGUCUUUCAAAGCCUAAACUGUCUUUCAGAGCCUGUCUCCCAAAGUCUGUCUCCCAGAGCCUGUCUCCCAGAGCCUGUCUCCCAGAGCCUAAACUGUCUUUCAAAGCCUAAACUGUCUUUCAGAGCCUGUCUCCCAAAGUCUGUCUCCCAGAGCCUGUCUCCCAGAGCCUAACUGUCUCCCAGAGCCUGUCUCCCAGAGCCUAAACUGUCUCCCAGAGCCUAACUGCCUCCCAGAGCCUAAACUGUCAGCUCUGCAGGGUCCUAUUCCCUGCCACCUUCGAAGCCAUCUCAGCACGACUCACCUGCUGAGUGGCAGGCAGGGCGAAUGGUCCCCUACUCACCUUUGCUGGCUUUUCAUUGACAAAUUGCCUUUGUCCAUACAAGAAAUGAAUUCUCAAGAUAUAUCUUAAAUGCCCCCUGGUUGUGAACAUGGCUGAGGGUGCUAUGUAAUAAUAAGUAGUUUUUGUCUUCAAAUAAUAAUUCUAGCAUAUGAUCAAAAGCAAAUGCAUCAAGCUUUGUAACAGGCAACAGCCCCAGCUCGGGGGUUUGGGAUGCCUUGACCAGCAGCCUGCAAACCUGGCUUCAUGGGCUCCCCGAGUGUCACAGCCGCUGACAGCCUGCUCUGUGUGGCCCCAAGGACCUCACCCAGCCGGCCACGCUCCCCGUGGCACAGUGGCCCUCCUCCGCUUCUCUCCGAAUGAUGUGAAGCAAAUGUUACUGGAGAGCCUUCUUUCUGCCCUCUGGAGCGAUUCUUCUUAAAGUGAGCUCCCUAGAGCACUGCCCUGUCCCCCAGAUGUGCCCUGGAGCUCUGAUGCCCAAAUCCAAUGCUGGAGCCCACAUGCCAGGCGUGGGAAUGCCAAAGGACACGAAGCCAGGGGAAGUAUGCUCAGAAAAUGUUCAUAAUAGGAGAAGAUGAGAACAGAGACUAAGAAGGAUAAAGGAGAGAAUAAGACCAGGAAAUACUUCCCAGAAAGAGGAGGCAGGAUUUCGCGUUCAACAGAUGAGAAAG
rnacentral:lncRNA from 1 species